CGUAAACCCACUGUUUGUGUAUAUAAGUAUCCAUAUUUUUUAUUUGAAGAGGAAAAAAUUAGCUACGCCGAGAGAUUACUUUGGGUUUCUUGAUUUGGAGUUUGAUUUCACCCAAAAAUUGGUCUCCACAGAGUUAGAUUGGGGAUUGAUGUAUGGAGUGGUUUACAGGCGAAGCUGAUCUGAUGGAAAGCUGGUUGUUCAAUGGUAGGAACAGUGGAUGUAUGUGAGGUGUAUGUCAGGUUGCUCGAUUAGAUAUGUCAGCCAACAAAGAGGAACUAAUUAGCGAAUUGUGUGACUCGAAUCACUCAAGAUUUCAGGAACUAAUUUACGAAUGGUGUGACCAGAAAUCACUCUAGUUUGAUAACCUACCGUAGACGGGGAUGCGCACUAAUGGAUGUCGGCGAUCCUUCCCAAAUCGACGGGUCCAACGGCAUGGGUUUUGAAAGUUGGGACGAGGGUUCGAGUUGGGGUUUGUUUUGAAGUCCAAUUGAAGAGUUUUGUAUCUGAAGGUAUGGGUGAUGAAGUUCUGAAGGUGUGGCUAUGUACUUUAGAAUUUUAUAUUACAUUCAAGGUGUUUGUAAGAUUGCCCAUAUGAGAAGUUUGAUUUCCAAUGAGAGUUUAUCACAAUCCUUCUUGGUUUUGAUGCCUAUAGCUAGCCUUACCCCAAUUAGUUGAGGCACAUAGCCAUUAGUUAAAAACCAAUUUCUUACAUAAUAUUUAGUUUUGUACUACUUUUAGCUACAACCAUGAUAUGGAAGGUUAUAAGAUCUUUGAUGGAUGUCUAAGACCAAAUAUAAUUUGUUUUUAGUUCACAGUUACUUCACCCAUAUGUUCUGAUCAUAACUCUUCCGAGAUAUGUGUUCAAGUCUUUUUUUCGUUCCCAGUUACUUCGCCCAUAUGUUCUGAUCAUAACUCCUUUGAGAUUAAUCUGAUUGUGGGUGUGUUGUUAAUUAUGGCUUGCAGGCUUCUUCAGAGUAUGUGUUGCUUUGUCAUGUAUCGGUUGGUACAUGUUGCUUAUCUCUUGAAAUUAAUUUUUCCAAAAAAAAUUGUUUGCUUGCUCCUU